ensembl:snoRNA
AUUCUUUUGUAGUUACUAAGUGUGAUGAUAGGGUGUUUACACACGUGUAAGAUGUGCCUCCCUCCAGCCUUGUUAUGAUGUCACAUUACCCGACUGAUG